UACGGAGGGUGCAAGCGUUGUCCGGAUUUAUUGGGUUUAAAGGGUGCGUAGGCGGUUCUUUAAGUCCGGGGUGAAAGCCCGUUGCUCAACAACGGAACUGCCCUGGAAACUGGAGAACUUGAGUACAGACGAGGGCGGCGGAAUGGAUGGUGUAGCGGUGAAAUGCAUAGAUACCAUCCAGAACCCCGAUUGCGAAGGCAGCUGCCUAGACUGUAACUGACGCUGAGGCACGAAAGCGUGGGGAGCGAACAGG
rnacentral:rRNA from 1 species